CCCGGCACAAGCGGUGGAGCAUGUGGUUUAAUUCGACGCAACGCGAAGAACCUUACCAGGGCUUGACAUCCUCUGACCGCAUAUGAAAGUAUGUUUUCUGGCUUCGGUCAGACAGAGAGACAGGUGGUGCAUGGUUGUCGUCAGCUCGUGUCGUGAGAUGUUGGGUUAAGUCCCGCAACGAGCGCAACCCCUACGUUUAGUUGCUAACGUGUAACGAUGAGCACUCUAGGCGGACUGCCGUUGACAAAACGGAGGAAGGUGGGAUGACGUCAAAUCAUCAUGCCCCUUAUGUUCUGGGCUACACACGUGCUACAAUGGCCGGUACAAAGGGACGCAAAGCCGCGAGGUGGAGCAAAUCCGAUAAAAGCCGGUCUCAGUUCGGAUUGCAGGCUGCAAUUCGCCUGCAUGAAGUCGGAAUCGCUAGUAAUCGCAGGUCAGCAUACUGCGGUGAAUACGUUCCCGGGCCUU
rnacentral:rRNA from 1 species